AGCGAACGCUGGCGGCGUGCCUAACACAUGCAAGUCGAACGUGAAAGGGAGCAAUCCUGAGUAAAGUGGCGCACGGAUGAGUAACGCGUAGGUAAUCUACCCCAGAGUCUGGAAUAACCUGCCGAAAGGCGGGCUAAUACUGGAUAGAGCGACGGAAUCCGUAAUUGGGUUUUUCGGGAAAGGGAGGAAGUAAUUCCCUUUGCUCUGGGAUGAGCCUGCGUCUCAUUAGCUAGUUGGUGGGGUAACGGCCCACCAAGGCAUUGAUGGGUAGCUGGUCUGAGAGGAUGAUAAGCCACACUGGAACUGAAACACGGUCCAGACUCCUACGGGAGGCAGCAGUGGGGAAUCUUGCGCAAUGGACGAAAGUCUGACGCAGCCACGCCGCGUGAGUGAAGAAGGCCUUCGGGUUGUAAAGCUCUGUCGAGCGGGACGAAAAAUCUAGGAGUGAAUAGCUUCUAGAUCCGACGGUACCGCUAAAGGAAGCACCGGCUAACUCCGUGCCAGCAGCCGCCGUAA
rnacentral:rRNA from 1 species